AGUGAACGCUGGCGGUAGGCCUAACACAUGCAAGUCGAACGGCAGCACAGGAGAGCUUGCUCUCUGGGUGGCGAGUGGCGGACGGGUGAGGAAUACAUCGGAAUCUACUCUGUCGUGGGGGAUAACGUAGGGAAACUUACGCUAAUACCGCAUACGACCUACGGGUGAAAGCAGGGGACCUUCGGGCCUUGCGCGAGUGAAUGAGCCGAUGUCGGAUUAGCUAGUUGGCGGGGUAAAGGCCCACCAAGGCGACGAUCCGUAGCUGGUCUGAGAGGAUGAUCAGCCACACUGGAACUGAGACACGGUCCAGACUCCUACGGGAGGCAGCAGUGGGGAAUAUUGGACAAUGGGCGCAAGCCUGAUCCAGCCAUACCGCGUGGGUGAAGAAGGCCUUCGGGUUGUAAAGCCCUUCUGUUGGGAAAGAAAUCCAUCUGGUUAAUACCCGGGUGGGAUGACGGUACCCAAAGAAUAAGCACCGGCUAACUUCGUGCCAGCCGCCGCCGUAACAC
rnacentral:rRNA from 1 species